UAGUCAUAUGCUUGUCUCAAAGAUUAAGCCAUGCAUGUCUAAGUAUAAACAAUUCUAUACUGUGAAACUGCGAAUGGCUCAUUAAAUCAGUUAUAGUUUAUUUGAUAAUUUCUUUCUACAUGGAUAACCGUGGUAAUUCUAGAGCUAAUACAUGCACAAAAACCCGACUUAGGAAGGGUUGUAUUUAUUAGAUAAAAACCAAUGUGGGCAACCACUCUCUGGUGAUUCAUAAUAACUUGUCGAAUCGCACGGCCUUGCGCCGGCGAUGUAUCAUUCAA
rnacentral:rRNA from 1 species